rnacentral:rRNA from 1 species
AUGGGAACGCGAAGAACCUUACCUAGACUUGACAUCUCCUGAAUUAAUCGUAAUUGAUGAAAUCCCUUCGGGGACAGGAAGACAGGUGGUGCAUGGUUGUCGUCAGCUCGUGUCGUGAGAUGUUAGGUUAAGUCCUGCAACGAGCGCAACCCUUAUCAUUAGUUGCUAACAUUUAGUUGAGCACUCUAGUGAGACUGCCCGGGUUAACCGGGAGGAAGGUGGGGAUGACGUCAAAUCAUCAUGCCCCUUAUGUCUAGGGCUACACACGUGCUACAAUGGUGGGAACAAAGAGAUGCAAGACCGCGAGGUGAAGCCAAACUCAAAAACCCAUCCCAGUUCGGAUUGUAGGCUGAAACUCGCCUACAUGAAGCUGGAGUUGCUAGUAAUCGCGAAUCAGAAUGUCGCGGUGAAUACGUUCCCGGGUC